GUAUUAAAUUUUAUUUAAAAAAAUUUCAGUCAAAAAUAAGGCUGAUUUAUUGAUACUCUUGGCAGGCGCUCCUCCACAAAAAAAAAGUGAAGGGAACCUACCAAAAGCAAUAAUGAUUUCAAUAUAUGCGCACAGUGGUUGAUCUUGGCCGCCAGACUCCUCCUUUUUUUUAACAAAGAGAGGGCCGACGAAAACCUUUAAUGAUCCUUCCGCAGGUUCACCUACGGAAA
rnacentral:misc_RNA from 1 species